GGAUUGUGGCUCAGUGGCAGAGUGCUUGCCUCACACGUGUGAGGUACUGGGUUCAAUCCACAGCACCA
rnacentral:tRNA from 1 species